rnacentral:lncRNA from 1 species
AAUAAGGCCCCCACCCCACCAUUUCUUCACACUUCUUCUUCAUUUCACUUUCCAAAAGAAAUCUAGAGAGAGAAAAAGCUAGAGAGAGAGGCUUAGAAGGAGAAGGAAUGAAAGAAGAAAGAAAAACAUAAGGAAACUCUUUAAGCUUUUGAUAAGGAAAAUUUUGGUAUUUUCACGUACCUUAUGAGGAGAAUUUCUAGAAAAAAAAUAACUUCAUAUAUAUUAUAUGGUUAAUAUGAAAUAGAAUGACAUGUUUUUAGGAGAUUUGAGAUGUAAAUUUAUUUGUGGAAUAAUAU